CAGGAAGUCAGAUUGCAGUCAACUGAAGAAUGAGUGGGCAGAUAUUCCUCUUUUUAGUUGAGCUUAGUAACUCCAGUGGAAACUACUCUUUGCAGAAAUUAGACUGUUUAGAGAAUGAAAGAUAAAACAGUAGCUUGAGGGGCAUUCACGGUUGAAAGAGAGUUCUUUUCUGUUGGAGGAAACAUGGGCAGACUUGUUGCUAAGAGAAAGAAAGCAGUGGAGAGGAAGAGCUGAUUAAUGGAGAAAGAAUUUAGGAGAAUAGGAGGAGAAGAAGUCAAGAGGAAAAGCCACAGGGGUCAGUCUCACAAAACAACAUUCUGCCUGAGGUGAAAGGAAACAGGAUAAUCAAUAAGAACACAGAGACAUUUUGAGGGGUGAUGAGUUGAAGAAGCUCUUGAAGUUUACGCGGGGGAUCUUUACUUUCCAGGGGAGCAAGCAAACGUAGCUGACUGGGGAGCAUCUUCCUUACCCGCUGUGGCAGGUGUGGUAAGUUGCCUCACUCAUCGGGCCCCUGGCCAGCUUAUCGUCCUAUACAGAGCAGUGGUUGGCAGGCUAUGUGCAGCUCAUGGGCCAAAUUUAGCCUACUGCCUGUUUUCCUGUGGCCUGUGAGCUAGAAACGGUUUUCGCAUUUUUUUAUUGUAGUAAAAUAUACAUAACAUAAAAUUUACCAUUUUAAUCAUUUUUAAAUAUACAUUUCAGUGGCGUUAAGUACAUUCACAAUGUUGUGCAACUGUUACUCCUAUCCAUGUCUAGGAUUUUUUCAACAUCCCAAACAGAAGUUCUGUACCCACUAAACAAUAACUCCCCAGGUGCCUCUCAUGCAAGUCCCUGGCAACCUCUAUUCUGCUUUGUCUGUGAAUGCUCCUAUUCUAGGUGUCUCAUAGAAGUGGAAUCAUAAAAUCUUUGUCCUGUUGGUCUGGCUUACUUCACUUAACAUGUUUUCAAAGUUCAUCCAUAUUUAAUAGCAUGUAUCAGAAUUUCAUUCCUUUUCAUGGUAAAUAAUAUUCCAUUGUAUGUAUAUACCAUAUUUUGUUUAUCCAUUCGUCUGUUGAAGAACAUUUGGGUUGUUUCCACCUUUUGGCUAUGGCGAAAAACGCUGCUAUGACCACUGGUGUGCAGGUAUCUGCUGGAGUCCCUGCUUUCAGUUCUUUCGGGUGCACACGCAGGAGUGGAAUUGCUGGAUCACAUGGUAAUUCUAUGUUUAACUUUUUGAGGAACCACUAAACUGUUUUCCAUACUUUGCACCAUUUUCCUGUCCCAGCUGUCACAAGGCUUCUGACUUCCCCCCAUUCUCAACACUUGUUUUUUGUUUUCUAUAGUAACCAUCCCAAUAGUAUCUCUUUGUGGCUUUGAUACGCAUUUCCCCAAAGGCUGCUGAUGUUGAGCACCUUUUCAUGGGCUUAUUGGCUAUUUGUAUAUUUUCUUUGGAAAAAUGUCUCUUCACGUCUUUUGUCCAUUUUUGAAUUGGGCUGUUUUGUUGUCGUUGUUGAGUUUUAGCGAUUCUUUAUAGAUUCUAGAUAUUAAAGAUGUGUGAUUUGCAAAUAUUUUCUCCUGUCUGUGGGUUGCCUUUUUGCUCUGUUCACGGUGUCCUUUUGCGCAAAAGUUCUUAAUUUUGAUGAAAUCCACUUCAUCGAUUUUUUUCCUUUGUUGCUGGUGCUUUUGGUGUUAUAUCCAACAAAUCAUUACCAAACCCAAGUCAUGAGACUGCUUAUGUUUUCUUCUAAGGGGGUCUAUGUUUUAGCUCUUACAUUUAAAUUGCACCCAUUUUGAGGUAGUUUUGUAUAUGCUGUAAGGUAAGGGUCCAGCUUCAUUCUCUGGCAUGUGGAGAGCCUUUUUCCUGGCACCCCUGGUUGAAAAGGCUGUCCUUUUCCCCACUGAACGGUCCUGAUACUCUUACUGAAAAUCUGUUGAUCACAUAUGUGAGGGUUUAUUUCUGGACUCUUCACAUUUUUAGAUGGUUGGAAAAAAUUUUUAAAAACGUAAUAUUUUGUGACAUGUGAAGAUUUUAUGAAAUUCAAAUUUCAGUGCCCAUGAAGAAUGUUUUCUUCGAGCACAUCCUUGCCCAUGGGGUUCUGUGUCGUCUACGCUUGCUCUUCCUUUAUAACCGCAGAGCUAAAUAGUUGUGACAGGGACCAUAUUUCUGCAAAUCCCAAAAUAUUUACUAUCUGGCCCUUUAAAGAAAAUGUUUGCCAACCUCUGUUAUAGAUACAGGAUGAAAAGCUAUAAAAUGUAUUUCCCACACUCUCCCACAGCAAGGAGGCAGACAAGGGACCCAGUUUCUACAAAUCAGAUUUACUCACACAGAUUUGCAUGAGGAAGUGACUCACAGAGGCAGCCACACGCAGGGAGAUUACAUUUUCUGGAACGCCACUCCCCAGACACUUUGAUUUCAUUGCCACUGAAGGAAGAAGAGAUACAUUUAUGAAAAGGGAGCAAAGAGAAGUGCGUGCCAGGACUCUAGCUCGGCCGUCCUGGGAGUAUCUCCAGAGAAGGAAGAUGGUUUCUCACAGAGUGGACACGGCUUGGAGGUGAUGGGGCCGAGCAGGGCGGGACCGAGGUAGCGGUCCAGACCAGACGGAACAAUUCCGAAUUCUCAUCUCAGUUGUUCCUCUUCAUUCAGACCUGCUGCCAUUUCUUCCAGCCAAUGAAUGCACUCUUGAAAAACAAAGUGCUCACACUAGAAUACUUGUUGUAUUGUUAUUUGUAUAUGCUCUCUAUUUUCCCACACAGCCGUGUGGGUGAGCGAUGGCGACAUCACCACAAAAACAGAACUCCUUCCAUGAACUCGGCUGCAGGAAUGCGCACGAUCUUCAGACCCAUGCUUCCUUUCCUAUGUGAUCGAUCUCGCUGUUUUUAGAGACUUUCAAUUUUUCUUCCUAAUUUGAACAUACUGGUCCUAUCGAGAGAAUAUUUCUUUCCCAUGUUCACCUCUCCCAUAAAAAGGAAAAAUUUCCAGUCUUACUCCCUGUGAUAAAAACUGGGAUAGAGAAAUGAAGAAAGUAAUUUAAAAUGGAAUAAAGUAAAAAACACAGACACAUCCUAAAAGCUGCCAAGAUGAUUCUUGAAGAAAUCAGAAUAGAUGGAGCAGUAAGACAGAAGGUAGGUAAGCCAGCACUAAGUGACGGUGAUAGGGGAAGAUAAAAGGUCUCACCAGAGAAAGCACUCUCCGGCCGAGGUCAGAGGGGGUUCACUCUUGAAGUCCACGCCCAGUGACCGCAUCACUGAACCCUCACCUUUCGUAGGCAAAGAAUGGCCUGAGCAGUUCCGGUGCCACAACCAGCCAAUGACAAGCAACAUCAGACAGCUGGGAGAUAAGUAACUGCUCGCCCUUCAUUUUCAACCUACAAUUAGACAAUUGUGGGUGCAAUUAUCUGUGUGCGCAGUUUUGUAACAACAGAUAAUUGUGGCUAAGGAACUACCUGCAUCGUGAAAGGCCCCUUGUAACAAGUUCCUCUUUAAAAUCUAAGCCAGUAUCUAAUUUAUUAGUGCAAAGACACCCAUGACUUCAUCUAAUUACGUUUUUAUACUUUAACGAGAGCUUUCCCUAGCCCAUUUGUGGGCCUCACUGCAGCAUCACCGACUGGCACAGUCGUCAUUAAACUGUCAGUGAGAAAUGCCACGUCAACGAUGGACGAGCCACGGAUCCUAUCCAGACCACACUGGUACUCGACAGCCAGCACAGAAGAGGCGCAAAUGAAGGACCCAAACCUGAGUCUAAUAACGUGCUUCCUGCUUGGAAUAUAAAGAAAUAGUCCAAAGGCACCACGUCCAGCGAUGCCUGGCACAUGGAAGGUGACAAAUAAAAAUGGCAAGUAAUAGGAUAUAUUGGAGUCUAUGAGGAAGCCUAUGGUGUAAACCUAAUUCGGCCUGACCUUGUCUUUCCAAAAGGGCCUGACUGUGGCCAUUGAGCAUGCAUUGUAUAUCUGCUUUAGAUAUUCCCUAUGGCAAGAACAAAGGCCCUUGAGAUAAGGGUGCAACUUCCCUCCCCCUCCCAACGUUGGCUUUUCCUUAAGGAUUAAGCAUCUUUCCUUAGGCUAGGAACUGAUUGCUGCGCUCACCUGUGACCACCCAGCUGGAAACAAUAGACUUGCCUCCUGCCACGCCCACUGCGAGAGCAGACCCACUACCUGCUGUGUCCAUCAAGGGCUGUGCCAACAGGGCAAUCUUGUGACUAUUGUGGGAGGGACAUUUCAAUCAUAUGUGAAACGUCCUGUAUGGGGUUAUAUAACCACUCUGUACACCUCACUUCUUUGGUGCCCUUUCUUCCUUCGGGAAGAAAGGCCCCAGGCCAUGGUCCUCAGAUUUUAGCUCAGAAUAAACUCACCCAAAUUUUCAUUUGUAGAUUGGUUACGGAUUAUUUUCGUCGACAAAGGCACACAGGAGUGCUUCCCGAAUUGCCACUGUGUGAGAAGUCCCCCCUGCACCCCACGCAGUCAGGCCGGCCCUGCUGCAGCCCUCAGGAGCUGUGCUGUUUGUCCCUCUCCCCGCGCUUAGGGGCUGGUGGAGGAGAAGCCAUGUUGCUGUCAUCUUUUCUUCUCCUCAGCGUGUCUCGGUUCUGGUGGCAGAAAACAAACUCAAAUUAGCUGAAGUCAAACAAAACAAAAGGACCGGAUGACAUCUGGGGUUCUUUUUCUGCCCUCGGUCUCCUCAGCAAAGCCACCUCGGCCCUCCGUGGCUUCAGCACCGGCCUAUCCUCUCUCCUGUAGGUGGGUGCCCUCGGUGUGCGAGGCAGAUCGCUGGUGGCUCUUCAGCCUGACUGCCAAGGCCUGAAUCGGCUGUGACACUUACCUAGUGUUGACGAAAAUAAUCCAUAACCAAUCUAUAAAUGAAAAUUUGGAAUGAGUUUAUUCUGAGCUAAAAUGUGAGGACCAUGGCCUGGGGCCUUUCUUCCCAAAGGAAGAAAAGGCACCGAAGAAGUGGGGUGUACAGAGUGGUUAUAUGGGUUGGGAAACACCCAAACAGGGUGUUUCACAUAUGAUUGAAAUGUCCCUUUUACAAUUGUCGCGAGACUGCUCUGUCGGCACAGCGAUUGAUGGAAACAGCAGGUAGGUCUGCUGUCUCGGUGGACACAGCAGGGUGGCAGGUCUGUUGUCUGGAGCUGGGUGGUCACAGGUGAGCUGGAUGGUUAAAGGUGAGCGCAGCCAUCAGUUCCUAGCCUAGGGAGAGAUGCUUAUGCUUAAGGAAAUGCCAAUGUGGGGGCAAGUUGCACCUUUAUCUUAAGGCCAUUUCUUCUUGCCGUAGGAAAUGUUUAAAGCAGAUAUACAAAGCACGCUCAACGGCCACGGUCAGGCCCUUUGGGAAAAAACAAAGUCAGGCCGAAUUAGGUUUACACCAAAUGGCUUCCUCAUAGACUCCAAUAUAUCCUAUUGCUUGCCAUUUCUAUUCGUCACUAGAAAAGCUACUUAGCUGCCUUGAGUCUUAGUUUCCAUAUCAGUAAAAUGGAGAAAAUAAUAGUAAUACUGGUAAAGAAAAAAAAAGAAAGGAAGAAAGAAUAGGCCCCUAGCGACCCCCAUGACAGCAAAGUGGGACUGAAUUACAGCCCCGCUGCGCCCGGGGAGGUGACCUUCAAACUGUCGCCUGAAAUUUCCCAGAAAAGAAGAUGCCUUGGCCUAAAAACAAUCCUUUCUUUUCUUUUGCUAGUGACUUCCCGGCCCCACCCUCCUUCUUAUAAAAUGUCCCAUUUUGUAGGACCCCUCGGACGUCCACCCUUCUCCUUGCUGGACGGCCGGGAUGCUGUCUGGUUCAUGAAUUGCUUAACAAAGACGAUUAGAUCCUCAAUUUACUCGGUUGGAUUUUUUUAACAAUACCUACCUCAUUAGAUGAUUGUAAAGAUUAAAUGAGAUGAUGUGUGUAAGGACUCAGCACAGUGCCUGACACACAGAAUGUGCUCAGUAAGUGUGAGCUUUGUUAAUAUUGGUCUUUCUAAGGAGGAGACAGGGAGGUAGAUGGGUCUGACUACAGACAAUUCUAGACGGAUAACAUCCCAGCUUAGUGACCCCAAAAGAAAGAGGGAACAUUUACAUGCCAGUGUGGAUAACCAUUCCCCAGGAUAAACAAAUUCGGGGAAGGACUUGGAUCAGCUAAGAGCCCGAGUGUUCACUGUGUGCCAGCACCAUAUAGGUGCUCUGCACACGUUGUCUGUCUGUGCAUCGUCAUAACGAAUUUCAGCACAACUCUAUGAGAAGUAAAUAAAUAAAAAAGAAUACAUCAUGCAGAACAUCUUGGAAACACCAGCCCGGGGAAAAGAGAGUCAAAGCUGCAGUCUCAGCUGUGUUUCUGAGGUUGUGCCCACCCAUCCCACGAUAGGGACCCCUGCUCUUCUGAAAUCCCUCCCAAGUUCGGAGGGUCACCUUUGCUGGCCUGCGCAUCUGCUCAGCCUCGGCAUGAAAGUCCACUCUUCACUGGUGAAGGCAGAGCUCCUGAUGCCAGACGAAACCUCAUUUCCUUCUUCCUCCAUCCACUUGCUCUCUGGACUCCAUGUACCGUGUGUCUCUUGUUGGCGCUGGGUCAACACAGGAGCCUGUGAAUGCCUCUUUGGAGAGAAGAAAGUGAGCUGCUCCCUUUGUCCAGCCACUUGGAGGAACCCCAGCAGAGUGGCCAGUCUCCUCCAGUAGCUUAUGGAGAUGCUAAUGCACCUGUUUUUGUUUCUACCUUCUCUCCCCAGGACUCUCUCAACAUUCCCUGAUGAAAAGAGAGCUUGAUAUGUGGUCCCUCUGCCUGACUUCACUGACUCCUUCCUACUGAGCUUCUCUGGUGGGAACUCCCCACCAACCUCCAGAUAGGCCCAUGUAUCUGACUUCCCCUCGAGAUGGGGACCCCUGCUACACGGUAACUAACAUACAGAUAGAGCAUAAUCCAUGCUAUAUUUUUAAUUAUAUCCUUUAAUUAAACCC
ensembl:lncRNA